AUCCGAAAUAAAAAUAUAUCCUUAACCGUAACCGAAUCCGUUAUAAAAGUUUCGGAUACGUUACGGAUAAUAUGUUACGACUGUUUUACCGCUCGCACGCCACGUGAAUCUUGCAUAGUUUGUUAUGACGACUCCCGGUUAUCUGGCAACCCUAGUUAUGACUAGAAAAUAGAAAUAACAGUAUGUGCCUGAAGGACAUGUAUCCAUAGCUAAAAAUAAAUAAAAAAAAAACAUAACCUCAUUCAUAAGUAGUCAUUAUAAUUCUCUUUGGUAGUCAUUUCUUUAUUUACGCGUAGGUAUUUAAUUAAAUAAAGUGUAAAGGUCUUGUAUUACGUACUAAAUUGAUUAAUAUGGGCAAAAUGCGUCCAAAGUCUAGUUUAAUUUGGUCAUUUUUUGAUCACGUUAAUGUAGAUUCCGCAAAAUGUAAACAUUGUGAUAGAAACUUCUCACGAAAAGGAGGCGGUACUACCUCACUAAAAUUUCACCUCAAAUCAAAACACAGUGAUAAGUACAAAGAACUUUUGUUGCUGGAACAAAAUAACCAACAAAAACCGCAUACAUCCAAACAGCUGACACCUUUACAAGAGUGUCGAAAACAGUUGUCAAUAACAGAGUCUUUAAAAAUAAUGGUACCUGGGAUGAAACUAAUACCAAACAAAAAGAAAUUGAUAGAUUGGUGGCCGAAAUGAUUACGUUACAAAACUUGCCAUUAAGCUUUGUGGAAGGUGUGGGAUUUCAAAGAUUAAUGCAGGUAGCAUUACCACGCUAUCGUCUUAGAGGUCGGUAGUAUUUCACAAAUUUACUGUGCACUGAUAUCUACAGUAAAAUGAGAUUAAAGGUUCUGGAAUUACUCAAACAAUUUGAAAAGUUGUCAUUCACGACAGAUGUUUGGUCCGAACCCAGCGCAAAUGUCUCAUUACUUAGCCUUACUGCUCAUGGCAUCACGAAUACAUAUAAAAGAGUUUCUAUAAUACUUAAGUGUGAACAAUUAGAGGGUCGCCAUACAGGUGAAAUUAUAGCGAAUAAUUUGAACAAUAUUUUGAAAGACUGGAACUUAAGCGCGGAAUCAGUUCAUUGUAUUUUACGCGACAGAGGUUCUAAUAUAAUAAAAGCUAUGAGUAUGGCUAAUUUCACUGAUGCGAACUGUACUAUUCAUCAACUACAAUUGUGUGUUCGAUUGGCGAUGGAAACCGAAGAAUUUCUCUCGCCAGUGAUAACAAAGUGCAAAAAAUUGCGACUCAUUUCAGUCAUUCCCUAAUUGCACAAAAUGAAUUGAAACAAAUUCAAAUUGAAAGACUGAACCAAUCAGGACUAAGUAUACUUCAGGAAUGUUCCACCCGUUGGAAUUCGACUUAUUAUAUGAUGUCAAGAAUAUUGAAAUUAAAAGACUCAUUAGUGCUGUAUUCAGGAACGCAUGCUAUACCAAUUCUUACUGCUGAUGAAUGGAUCGACUUGAAAAAGUGUAUUACCGUACUAAUGCCAUUUGAAGAAAUUACAAAGGAGUUAAGUAGUGCUACUGCAACAAUAGCUUCGGUGAUUCCAUUAAUCUAUACUCUUAAAAAUACAUUAGAAACAGAGAAGUAUAAAGAAGACACUUCUGACAACUUUAAAUUAAUGAUUACAAAAAUGAUCCAGGACCUCAAUAUCAGAUUUCAGGACAUUGAAAAUAAUAAAAUAUAUACAAUAGCUACUUAUCUAGAUCCACGGUACAAGCUCAAAUUUUUUACUGAAAUUACGAAGGAACAGGUGCGGUCAGAGAUUUUGGAAAUCUUUGGGUGUUCAAAAACUUCACAUGAUGAAGGUCCUUCUUCACCUAAAAGAUCACGUAAUGAGCUAGCAACAACAAGCUCAAGCAACCAAUCACGCAUUCAAUCUUGUCUAGCUGAAAUAUUAAGCAUAAGUGACGAGGAAGAGCAAAAUAUAGAUUGUGCUGAUGAAGUGUACCAUCAAUUCAUUGUUAAAAAGACAUUACUAACUGAAUACAAUAGAGAGAAAAGAUUGACACUCACAGAAGAUCCACUUCUAUGGUGGAAAAAUCAUACCAAGUAUCAUAGCUUAAGUAAUUUAGUAAGACAGUACCUGUCUCCACCUCCUGGCAGUGUACCGAGUGAGCAGCUUUUCAGUGCUGCUGGGUUAAUUUAUGACCCUUUAAGAAAUCGACUUUCUGGUGAUAAGGCUGCAAAAUUGCUUUUUAUUAAAUAUAAUCUUCCUUUGCUCAGGUUUGACUAUUAGAACUAUGAUUAGGUGAUAGACAACUUCAUAUUUUGUUAUAGUUUCAUUACUCAUAAAAAUAAUUAGGAAAACGCUUGUUAUGUUAUUACAUAAUAUAUAAUAAAUAUGAUUUAAACUUAUUAUUAUAUUAUUGAUAUUUAUUUUUAAUAUUUAAACUUAUUGCAUUUUUAGUAGACUCAACUGAAAAUUGAGUAGGUAGAUAUAAUAAUAACUUACCUAUAUGACUGAUUGUCAUACCAAAUGAUAACCUAGACUAGAUAGAACCUAGAAAUAAAACCAAAUUGUCAUAUA